GCCAGCUGGAUUCCCUGCGUCAGGCGAGCUUAGCGCGGGUGCUGUGUGAUAAUACAGAUCAGCUGGUCACGCUACAGCGGUACCCGAUGGUGUUGCUCGACCAUGCCAUAAACCCUCGAGUGUCUUGCUCCAACAGCCUCCUUCUUCCAGACGUUGACCUGAGUCCUUGGCAGGACUACCGUCAUUGACAGGAUCAAGUUGCAUCAUAUCCGAAGCAAAGCCUCCCAUUCUGAGAGACAAACUAUGCCAAAAGAGUGCCAACAGAAAAUGUAUAUUCUACGAGGGAUAAAAGAGAUUACGUAGCAAUCACAACGACUACAAGGAGUAGAUAUUAAGGGUAUUUUGAACAUAGAUGGUAGUUCACACAAAUAC